AGUGAACGCUGGCGGUAGGCCUAACACAUGCAAGUCGAACGGCAGCACAGUAAGAGCUUGCUCUUACGGGUGGCGAGUGGCGGACGGGUGAGGAAUACAUCGGAAUCUACUUUUUCGUGGGGGAUAACGUAGGGAAACUUACGCUAAUACCGCAUACGACCUACGGGUGAAAGCAGUGGAGCUUCGGACCUUUCGCGAUUGAAUGAGCCGAUGUCGGAUUAGCUAGUUGGCGGGGUAAAGGCCCACCAAGGCGACGAUCCGUAGCUGGUCUGAGAGGAUGAUCAGCCACACUGGAACUGAGACACGGUCCAGACUCCUACGGGAGGCAGCAGUGGGGAAUAUUCGACAAUGGGCGAAAGCCUGAUCCAGCAAUACCGCGUGAGUGAAGAAGGCCUUCGGGUUGUAAAGCCCUUUUGUUGGGAAAGAAAAGAAGUAGGUUAAUACCCCGCUGUUCUGACGGUACCUAAAGAAUAAGCAACGGCUAACUUCGUG
rnacentral:rRNA from 1 species